rnacentral:lncRNA from 10 species
UCAGGCCUUUCUUCACUCUUCCAGGCGUCCUUAUGACAGUGGCCCUAAAAAAACAGAUGGGAUAUGUUACAAAGUGCAGGAGAAGCACUAGAUUGUGAAGGAGAUAGGUGUCAAUAUUAUCAAAGGGACAACUGUUAUUUGAAGCAGCCAGCAAAUGAGAAGGUCCUGCUUUGCUGCAAUUGCUCCGCUAAAGUGUGCCUCUCAUGAUGUGAAAUCUGAACCUUGGGAAUAGUGAGAUAAUUUUUUAAACUGAUUUUUAAAAUUUCUUACCUCCUGUGUAAACUUUGAACAUUCCUGAUGUCAUAAGAUUAAAUUUUAGCCAACAUUCACUCUGUGGAUAAACUGUAUUUCCAACAAGGUCAAGCUUAGUUUGUGCUGUUUGUUUCUCUGCCUGCUAGGGAAGACAUACACACACACACACACACACACACACACACACACAUAUCCCCCCACAGGACAUGAUAACCUUUGGAAGAGAAGAAUUAAGGGAUGUUAAUGCAGAGCGCUUGCUGGGCAGGGACCUAUGCGUGGUUUCAGGAAAUCCCAGUCACGUCUCCAAGAAGGUCAUGAAAAAUGAAUGGCCCCAGAGCACCACUGUGACAGACUGUUUUAGUGAGUGGUAAUGGGCCAUCUCUAGAAUGAAAGGUUGUGUAUUUAUAACUGUGCAGGCCGCCGGGUAUCACACCAUUCAUUAUGCCUGCCUGAUUUAAGGGAGAUGCCUUUUCCGGGGGUGACAUGGGAGCAAAUUAUUUCCAGGAAGAUCACAGCUCUCUUCUCCCCCUCCACCUGCCUCUCUGUAUGGCUCACCUCAUCCCAGCAGUAAAACACACUCUCAUGGUCACAAAAGCACAUUCUCUGAAUUUUUCUUGUCAUAGAGCAUUUCACAACUAGAGCUUAUCUUACCCCAACUUGUAUUGGGAUGAGAGAGCUGGAAUGAGGGAGCUUGCCUAAGGAGGGCUUAGACGAGGGAGGAUACCACAUUCUCACUCUGCUGUCUUUCCUCUAUCAAGUGUCUUACUGGGAGGCUGUGGACCGAUGCCAGGUGACGUGAUAGACAGCUACUGGACUAAUUUGCAAAGCGAAUUUCUGAAGUCAGAUUUUUUGCUUGAUAUGGAUUCCAUCUUCAGAGAAGAUGUGGAAACUGAGACCCAGAGAAAUUCUCUUACCUGCCCAUGCUCACAUGAUGACAGUGACCCGAACCUGGGCCCUCUGGUUCCAAGCUUGGUGCUCUUUCCACCACCACAGGCAAAGCCAUCACAGCCUCUGUCAUGGAUGCUGGAUAAUUGGGAUUCGUUGCACAACCUACAUUCUCUGAAAGAUGAUUGACAUCCCUGCAGUUUGUACUGUGUGAAAGUGGCCACGUUGUCAAAACCUGGGCAAACACAAUCUUCUCAAAAGGUUAAUUGGAAUUCAGUUGAAUACAAAGAACGAAGAGUUUUUCUCACAUACUUUUAAUACACAGUUUUAAAGUUAUGAUUGGAAUAAAGUAUUUUAUCUAGAUUAGCACUGACCACUUAUGGUAGCCACCAGCUAUGUGUGGCUAUAGAGCACUUGGAAUGUGGCUAAUCCAAAAUAAGGUAUGCUGUAAGUAUAAAAUAUGCACCAGACAUUUUAAAAUUGUUUUAUUAAGAAAAUGAAUGCAAAAUAACUCAUUAAUUUUUAACUGAUUACCUAUUGAAGCAAUAAUAUUUUGGACGUAUCGGAUUAACUAAAAUAUGAUAGUAAAAUUAAUUUUACUUUUUUUACUUUUUAAUGUGACUACUAGAAAAUAUAAAUUACAUGUAUGGCUCACAUAUUUCUACUGGGCAGCUUUGUUUUCAAAAAAGAUUAGAGGGUGACUCUUCUCAAACAGUUUAAUUAAUGUUAUUUGAAGCUCAUUAGAGUAUGUAUUUAUAUCUACAGCAUGUGAAAUAAAGAUAAUAAUGUCAUUUCAUACCAGUUCAUUUUAUAAUAAGCCCUACUGAUGCCUCUAAAAUAUGAAAUAAUUUCAGAAUAAUUUUGAUUUAUGUCUAAAAGGACCUUGUCAUAACACAGUGUGUUACAGAGUCUUAGAAUUUCUAGAUAUCCUAAAAAAUCAUCUAAUUUAAUCCCAUCUUUUUAGAGAAAGAAACUAAGAGGAGUUUACCUGAUCACCUUAAUAUUACUUACGAGUAAAGCGAAAACUGGAACUCAGAUCUCUGAAUCCCAAGCCACAAGAUUUCUAUUGUACCAGUACUAUUUAAAUCUGACAGUGUUUCAAAAGUAGAACACAACUAUUCCUUGUUUUUUUGCCCCUAAUAAGUAGUUUUAUUUUUUCAAAAGAACUUCAAUUCAAAAGCUACAUUUCUAAAAAUUGCCAUAACUGAGGCCACACUCAUUAACCCAAAGAGAUUUGAUUAAGGUAAUUGAAUAAUAUAUUUUUGUUGGUCUCCUUCCCCAACACAUAUAGUUUUAUCUAAAAAGGUUUUAUGACACAAAGCAAUCGAAGCACAAAACUGACAAAAUCACCAACAAGGAAUAAGGUUUCUAAACAGAAGAAGAUAUGCAAGGAAGAAACCAGCUUGAUUCAACAGAGUCUUAAAGCCGUGGAGCCAAGUUGGAUUACCUGGAAAACUAGCCCAUCAGGCUGGUUGCCUGCAUAGCAAAAGGGAACAAUACUCAUGAAGGGAUAAAAUCAGAAAAACAAAAAAUAAAAGGACACUGAUCAACUUGCAGGAGAUAUUUUUAAAACCGCAUUAAUUUCCUGUAUUUGACACAAAAGAAGGUUAACAGAGAACUGUUAGUCCUUUUUAGAUAGGAAAACUGCCCCAUAGCUGAGCUUUCCUUGGAUCCCUUCAGUUUUGCAUUCAGAUGCUUCACCAGUCACUCUCUCACUCCCCCUGUAGAAUGAGAAAUCCAGUCAAGCUUUUUACUGGUUUUGCAUUGCUAAUAAAAUAAUAACAAUUGAUAUUCCAUUUUGUGGAGGUUGGGAGGGAAGGGGACCUAAAUUAGUCUUUUUGAGGUCAUUUAAAAGCAGACUCAAGAUAAGAGGAAAAUAGUCAUUCUAAAUACUUAUUGAUGAAUUGAUCAAUUAGUUUUGGCAAAAUAAUUCCAUGAUAUAUAGUGUUUAAAAUGACUACCACAUUACCUGCAAACACUGUAUGCUCAGUAAAUGUUAAUUAUAUCUGAA